UAAAACGGAGAAUAAUUAAGUGGGUUUUGGAAGGAGAGCUUAUCAAGUAAGGCUUUCCUAGUCUAUAUAAAGAGGGUCUGCUGCUCCUUGAUUGAGUCGGGAGAGCUAGAAAGUAUAGGUUCUCUCCAUGCAUGGAUCUUCAAGGCAGCACUGGCUGUUCACUCCCCCUCCAGGCUUCCUUUGCCGGCCCGAUUGGUAAUGAUGAUUUUGUUUUCUACGACGAAACUUAAACCACCAGGUAGGAGGCAGGCUGGAGGCUCUUGUGGGGGGGGGGUAUAAAUAGGCUAUGUGUUGCUCAAGGCUCUCUAUGCAUGGUCUCAGGGUGGCAAUCAUUGUUCACUCUCCCUCAAGGCUUCCAACGCAAUAACCAGCUACGUACAUGUAACUGUGUUACGGCUGCAGGCUUGAGGCCUUUGGGGGAGAGUGGUCAAAAGUUGUCAUGAUUUUGGCAGACGAGGAAUAUCAACUAUAAUUUCUUUCCUGAAAGAAAUUCUGAAUGACCUGGGCUGGGAGUGAUUUCUAAGCCAUGCGGUUUUUUGCAAAAAAUCCUGCAUAUAAAUUCACCUUCAAGUUUUUUUAGGCUGAUCUGAUCAGUACUGCUGUUUGCUGGUUCAAGCUUAUAGACUUCCAUUUAAAUCAUACUUUUGUUGUUCAAAUAAGAAAGAAGAGGGGGAAUUGGACAUGUGAUCUUACAAAAUUCACUUUUCCUUUCUCUGCUUCUAGCCCACUAAAAUGUUCUUGCAGCUUCUAUUCAGUACUAAAGUCAACGAUAUACGACUGUCAAUACGAGAUUUUUUUCUUCUUCUUUCUUAUUAGUUUUUCUGUCAUUGGAAUUUUUUAACUGAGCUUUCAUUGGGGUUUCUUACCUAAAACUCUGUAAACCAGAGAGAAAAUCAAUGCGAAUGGCAGAGAGCAGCAGGUUCUCCAUGGAAUGACUGCUCGUCAAUGGUGCCCCUCGUGGAAUCGGGUUCUCUCUCUCUCUAUUAAAAAAAAAACCUCGAGGCUCAAUUUUCUAUUCAAUAUAAUAGUGCAUGUAUUUACUGAUUUGUUACUGGAAAAAAAUAUAUAAACUAAGCUUCAGGGUGAGAUUGUUUUUGAUCCUGGUAUCUUUAAUAAUAUAUAUAUUAGAUGAGUUAUAUAUUUGUUGUUUUUUUUUUAAUAUGCAGUAAAAUUACAAUUAUAAUCUUGAAAUAAAUAAUUCUAGUACUUUUGGAAUUUUGUUUUUUUCGAUUUUAGUGCUCUUGGAAACAAGAGCAAUGCAACUCUUUCAUAAGAGUUUUUUUUUUUGGUCAUAUUACCCUGACAAAUCUUUCAUUUAAAUUCAAGUUCUCUAACUUUGUUCAAUAAAGAGAGGAUAAAAAUGGAGACAAGAGGCAGGAAAAUGCUUUGAAGCAGGUCUCGUCACCCAAGAGACUCAGGCUACUUCGAAUGUGUUCAGAAACCUAGCCUAGUAUUGUUUUACUUGGUUCUUUGAAAACUCGUUCGUUAUUUUAAUUUAUUUCAGUUACAUCUUACUGUAACUUAAACUUUGGGAAUUCAAUAAAAGACAGAUUCUGUCA